AGGACGAACGCUGGCGGCGUGCUUAACACAUGCAAGUCGAGCGGAAAGGCCUUUCGGGGUACUCGAGCGGCGAACGGGUGAGUAACACGUGAGUAAUCUGCCCAUCGCUUCAGGAUAGCCAUCGGAAACGGUGAUUAAUACUGGAUAUGACAUUCCUUCGCAUGUUGGGGUGUGGAAAGUUUUUCGGCGGUGGAUGUGCUCGCGGCCUAUCAGCUUGUUGGUGGGGUAAUGGCCUACCAAGGCUUUGACGGGUAGCCGGUCUGAGAGGGUGACCGGCCACACUGGGACUGAGACACGGCCCAGACUCCGUACGGGAGGCAGGCAGGUGGGAUAUUGGACAAGUGGGCGGAAGCCUGAUCCAGCAACGCCGCGUGGAGGAUGACGGCCUUCGGGUCGUUAAACCUCUUUCGAG
rnacentral:rRNA from 1 species